CCCCCUAUUUCUCCUUUAUGUCUUCUUCUUUUCCUUCAUCAUACCUAAAAUAAACCCUAAAAUUUCAUUAAAAACCUCAUUUUCUUCACACUGCCGUCGCCACCACAUUUGGCUGUCGUUCUCCUCCCCCUUCACCUCCCUAACCAUCGUCGCUUCUUCAUGCCCAAAUAUCACCAUUCAUCAUCCUCAAAACACUAAACCACCGCACUUACAACCAUAAACGACGUUGCCCUUCAACCCCACAUACAACCACACCAAUACGCCGCCCUUCAACCUACACCACAAUGCUUCAAAUGUUGUUUUGUCGCUUCAAAAAACCAACACCGACACUGCCUAAAAAUACCGCAAAUCGCCGCUCCCCUAAGCCUUUAGCCGUCGUUGUGCCUAGCGCAACCACCAGCCACAGCCACUAUAGCCAUGGUUCGAACUAGAAAUGAAGCGAUCGACAAUUUUCUGGCUUCUCUUAAUCGAGGUCACAACUGAUUUUCAACAUCGCCCAUCAUCGACAUUGAUGACGAAGAUUUAGAACCGUCUCCACCGUUAUCGAUACAAGCUAUUGGACUGAGUCAACAUCGUUGUCGAAGGAGCUCAACAUCAGACGAGGACGUUCAAAUGGAACCAACACCUCUGAUGCACAAAACCUUUGAAUCAACACGAACAAUCCCCUAUGCAUCGAACAAAAUUAGCCAUUGUAUGUGCUCGACAACAACCGUCAUACCAACCAAGUGAAGAGCCAGUAUGAACUCUAGGUAGCAGUACUGAAGCUGCUAGUAUGUUGAGUCCGCCAAAUAGUUUAUUCGAAGAAGAGUAUCAGCCACCUAGAUAUAAUAGGUGCGACCAUGGAGGGCGCACCGACACAAAGCUGUCGGAGGCGAGACUUCGAGGAUUUCUGAAUUGUACAUUCCCAGAACAUCGCACUAGAUAUGACGAAAUUCGACAUCGUCCAAUCCUAGUCUGUGAGAGAUGCAAUUCUAAUGCAGAAGUUCAAAAAAUCAAGCAAUUUGGGCUAACUUGGAACAAAAAUUAAGAAAAAGGGGCCAAAUUGAAAAGUUGCAAAAUUGGUGGCUGAUGGAAAAAGUCAGACUUUGAUUUCGUCAAAUCCUAUAAUUAGAAAAAUAUUUGAUUUUUUAUUGGUUGUUAAACAUAAUUUUAGGAGGAAGUCAUGCUAAAAUUAGCGUUUGAGAGGUGUAUAAAAGCCUUGUAAUUUUAGCUUGGAGACAUAGAGUCUUAAGUCGUGAAUACAAAAUAGUUCUUUUGUUUCUUAUAUCUGUAGGUAGUCAAGUAUUUUUCCAAUUCCUUUAUUUUUCUUAUUUUUGUACAAUUUCUCUUUAAUUUCCAUCUCUUUUU